rnacentral:rRNA from 1 species
UACGUAGGGUGCAAGCGUUAAUCGGAAUUACUGGGCGUAAAGCGUGCGCAGGCGGUUUUGUAAGUUUGUCGUGAAAGCCCCGGGCUCAACCUGGGAAUUGCGAUGAAGACUGCAAGGCUUGAAUCUGGCAGAGGGGGGUAGAAGUUCCACGUGUAGCAGUGAAAUGCGUAGAGAUGUGGAGGAACACCGAUGGCGAAGGGCAGCCCCCUGGGU